CGCCUUGCUUCAAAAGUACAACAUCUCAAUCCAUUCACAAAUAAUAUUAAAAAUGUUCAUUGGUCCAGUUCAGAAAGAGCAUCUGCACAUGAUGAUCCUGGGUUGUGGUUGGCCGUGUGGAUCGCUCAGUGGCCCAUGCAGUAGUGGCUGCUGUGGUGGUUGCUGUGGAGGCUGUGGUGGUUGCGGUGGCUGCUGCUGAUAAUAAAACCGAUUCUCAUGGGAUUUCUGGACCGCGACUAAUGAACAGCUAUUGCCUAGACUUCCAUAGGAUAGAAACGCCACCCUCAACACCUUUUGGCAAUAAUAUUAUUUGCAGUUAUUAAAUAAAUAAAAUGUGAGGCUUUUCUCAGAAUA